rfam:Zymoseptoria brevis strain Zb18110 contig5832, whole genome shotgun sequence.
AUAUGAUGAACCCUUUAGAUGACGAGUCUUAUCCGGCCUUGCCGAUGCUGACACAAUCUUUUUAAUACCAUUCAUGCCUAUCUGAUC